GAUGAACGCUAGCGAUAGGCUUAACACAUGCAAGUCGAGGGACCGGCGCACGGGUGCGUAACGCGUAUGCAACUUGCCUCACAGAGGGGGAUAACCCGUCGAAAGACGGACUAAUACCGCGUACUGUGAGAUAGGCUUGCGUCCCAUUAGGGAGUUGGUGAGGUAACGGCUCACCAAGGCAACGAUGGGGAGGGGAACUGGGAGGUUGAGCUCCCGGACUGGUACUGGGACCCGGCCCAUACGCCUACAAGUGGCAGAAGUGGGGAGUAUUGGUCAAUGGGCGAGAGGCUGAACCAGCCAAGUGGAGUGAAGGAUGACUGUGUAUGGAUUGUAAACUUCUGUUAUAAGGGAAUAUGUACCCUACGAAUAAGCAGCGGCUAACUCCGUGCCAGCAGCCGCGGUAAUAC
rnacentral:rRNA from 1 species